AAGAUAUGACUUGGGGGCUGCUUUAAUUUUAACAUUUAAACCCUUUUUAACAUUAAAUAUUCAUUCGUUUCUUAUUUUUUAAUCAUAAAACCAAAAUAUUAGCAAACAAAAAUAUCCCCCGAAAUACGAAAAAUCUAAUAUUCACCAUAGGUUUGUACAGUGUAGGCCAAAAAAUAGGUGCUCUACAAAAGUUCUUUAAAAAAACAUUUUUACAUUGAAGCCACAGAAUAUACCAUACUCAAAUUGAUCUUUGAUAAUCCAGGCCUACUUUCCUGCAAUUGGUUUUUUAUUAAUUGUUAUGCUUUUUCCUUAAAAAGUGAUACAAAAAUUAAUUUUUCCCAUCAAUUCCCGCCAUUGGUACUUUUCUCACGUAGAGGGAGCUUCACACAAUAACAAACGAAUCAAAGUAACAGUAGAAACUAAACAAACAAAAGUAGAUUCAUUCCAGCGGGCAGUCAGCUCUUAUUAUUCAUUUAAAUGAAAAUUCAUGCAAAGGACCUGGAAAAUCUGCAGAAAUAAACCCUAGGACUACUCUGACCAACGGAGGUUGGUGGUUUGGCAGUUGAAGGCUUAAGAAACUUGCUGACCAUCCUGGGUACAACCCCAACAGUCAAUGCCUCUAGCUUCGACAGGCACAUAGCCACUUUUAAAUCGAUAUCUCAAGAGACCAGCGAGGAACACAUGAAGAGGGCGGCGGUAUGCCUACAACAAAGGGCAAUGGACAAGGACCUGACCAUCAGGUAAAAUGACCGUGUGGACAUCACCUCUACUACCAACCUAUCUGUUCUUCUUUACUACUUCUACUACCUCCACUACCACACUAUCCGUUCUCCCUUGCUCCCCUUCCUCUUCCAUUCUCACCAGAUCUGUCAAUCAUUAAAUAUCUUAAUAUUUCUUACCCUCCCUCAUCUGUCUUUCUUUCUCUCU